UACAGAGGUGGCAAGCGUUGUUCGGAAUUACUGAGCGUAAAGGGCGCGUAGGCGGCUUGGUCAGUCCCGUGUGAAAUCCCUCGGCUCAACUGAGGAACUGCACGGGAAACUGCCUGGCUUGAGUUCGGGAGAGGGAAGCGGAAUUCCGGGUGUAGCGGUGAAAUGCGUAGAUAUCGAGAGGAACACCUGCGGCGAAGGCGGGUUGCUGGGCUGACACUGACGCUGAUUGUGCGAAAGCUAGGGGAGCGAACGGG
rnacentral:rRNA from 1 species